rnacentral:lncRNA from 1 species
UCUUAUGUUUGGAGCCAUUAUCAUAAUAUUGUCCUCUUAUAUCAUCAAUGUUUGAUUUUAGAUCACAAAGUAUCAUUCACGUCGCUUGAAAACCCACACCCACUUAUCAUCAACUUUUAUAUCCCCAAGAAAGAACUCCUCUAUCUUAACUUUAAUUUUAUCCUUAACAUCCACACUCUUAUAACAAUUAGACAUUUGCUCUUCAUGCUUUUAGAUUCGAGUGCAAUCAAUAAUAACUGAACAAAACUUUGCUCUUAAAAUCUUCUUCAAGAUUUUUCUUUUAUUUGAUCAUCUCAUUGCCAUAACUUUCAAUUCUUUUGAAUUUAUGGCUAGAUAAUGACGUUGAAUUCUUUAUCUACCACACGCCAAAAGUACUCUUUCAUAAUAAUAAUCAAAUUCCACACAAAUUCAAUAAGUUGACAACAGGUCCAAUAUUCUUCUCAUAAAUUAUCUUAUUUUGGUCUACGAAAUGGCAAACUAUUCUGAGAAAGAGGCUUACAACCCCGAUGAUUUAAACUUGUAUCAUCUUCCAAUGAACUCUUUCUUUAUCGAUUUAUUCUUCUAUUUUGUUGUCAAUUAUUGCUUUUUGUUGAAAUCCAUUAUGUAAGUCUACCUACCUCACAACAUUGGUGAUGUUUUCACAUUCGUUUCAUGUUCUCUAAGCUUUGUAGGAAGGUUAUGCAAAUCAUCAAUUCCCUCCUCAGCCAAAAUAGUUAUCAUUGAUUUAGACUGGAAUAACUUGCACAAAAACAAAAUACAUUAUUCAACUCAUUUGAAUACCACGCUACUUCCUUCUUACUGUCCAACCAUUUAAAGAGCAAACCUAGAGUUUGGAAGAAAAUAUUCCUCCCAGGAGGUAACUUUCCUUGGAAAUGCAUCACUUUCUCUUAGAUCCUUUAUAGGACCAUCGUAGAACAACAUUACUUCUUAGUGUCAUUAAUAACUUCCCCAUAAAGCCCCCGAUUGUGUUCACAUCAAUAUCUUUCUCAAGGUAAGGAAUACUUUUCAUUUUCUCUAUUACCACCUCCACCCUAAGAUCAUCAUUUAUAGAAAUAGGGUCUUCAUUAAACUCGUCCCCAAUUAAUUCAAUUUGUUACAAUCAACACCUUCAACUUACUUCUUCACCUCAGAAGAUUAUUAACACAUUCCUCCCCUCCCCUUUUUCCUGCAUCACUCUGCUUUUCAAACUUGACUUAAAAGUUAGAUUUUAUUUUUUUUGCAUCAAAUAGUCUAGAGCUUGAACCUACUCGAGAUUUUUCGUUGCACACGCAAAUCUUUCAUUGCUUUAAUUUUUCUGUGAUACGAUCUCUCGAACUUCCGAGUAUUAUGCUGCCCUAGUCGGUUCCUAUGCUUUGGGAACUGACUUAAGAUAGCUAAAACAUACACCAAAAAGUGGUAAGCAUUUUGGGCGCCGGUUUGCCGAGGAGUUAAAACGCCAAGUUUGAGUUCUUGUGAUUUUACACAAGUGUUGUGUAACGUAUUUAAUUUUUGGCUUUCUUUUAUAAAAAAAAUUAAAAAAAAUCAUGCAUUUUGGAUUGUAAUUUUGAAGUACCACGUCUAAUCAAGAUUGGGAUAGCCAUUACUGUGUCUAUAUUAUUCACCUCCACCGCCUUGGUCUGAGGAAGUAUGUACACUUGAAUCCAUCAUGACAACCUCAAUAGGGCAAGGGAGUAUGAACAACAAAAUGUGCAGUACUAUAGUCCCAAGGUCAGUAACCCUUUAGUUUGAAUGUGUAUCAGCAUUCCCAAAAAACAGAGUUAGAGGACAACUUUGCAGUCUUCCCUUCAAUACCAACAACCUGUAUCCCCAGCACAUCCAUGAGGAAGUGGUAUAUAAUGAGUCAUGUCUAUAUGGUUUUAGUCAUAACCACUUUGGUGACUGAAUGUCCACAGGCUCUGGAGUUUCCAAAAUUGUGCAAAAAUAUGUCAAACUACCCACGGAUGCUUGAAAUCCUAGAGUGACAAUCAUACUCGACAUUCCCAAUAAUGAGUGGAAAACUCACUAAACUCAUCUUGCGACACAAGAACCUUGGGAGGACGAUCUAACACUUUUUGUCCACCUUCCCCCCCCCCAAGUUAUUGACUCUUCUGAACAGUCUUGCCAACGUUACUAUCCUCCUCUACCUCUAAGAAAAUCCAAUUUAGAGGCUAGUAUGUUGCAAACUCUACAAGAUUAUAAGGCUAGCGUUCAAAUAUUGGUCCACUGUCAAUCAAUUGCCGAACUUAGGAAUUCAAGUAGAAAAAACUAGUUCAAAUCCAUUUAAUGGACAAGAGAGCAAAAGUCAUUGACUCAAGCGCAAAAUGAACAAGUAUGGGAGGUAGAGACCAUUAAUGAAAGAAAGAACGGCGGAGUUGUGGGAAAGAGAGACGCGAACCCAAUAGUUUUGAGGUGAACAUAUCAGUGAGGAACACGCACACCUGACACAAGAACUGAUCACCACUUAAUGAACUUAUUCAAUUGUGGAGAGUUGAACUAUUUAGUCCACUCUAAAUCUUUCAUUGAGUAAGAGCUAAGCGAUAUUCUUGGUGUAAAAAUUUUAAUUAGGUGUGGAUCCUUAUUUAACAACUGAUCAACAAACUAAAAACUACGCCGAUUUAAAAAUGAAUAGUGGUGGGAAAUAUAAAGUUUAAGGCACAGAAAAAAUAUAAAAAAUAUUCUAAGUACGUGAUCAGCUGGGAUGGUCGAAUUCAAUUUGUGUUAGAAUACUAAACUGGACUCCUUUGUGAUCACGGCCAAAUGGAUGUGGGUUCUUAACAUUGGAAAAUCACCCGAUGAUUUUGUUGUAGUUUCCUUAUAUAUAACGUAAUUUUCUAAUUUCUGCUUAUUUCCAUGUUAUGUUCAAACUACACCUUUCAGUCUAUGCGCUAACAUCCAUUUAUAGAAUUAAAUUUAGUGCAAUCUAUGAGGGACCAAAAGCAAAGGGCAUGAACUAAAAAGAUACCUGACUAGUCGCGCCAAUACUGAAUCAGUGAAACUAAGUAGGCAGCUGCACUAAGGAACAGGAUGUUAUGCUCCACAGGGCCCUGUUCCCUUUUUAUUUAUUGUUGUUCUCAUUUUGCAUUGAGGAAACUGCACAAUUCAGUUGGGGGGUGUGAGGGUUAAUUUUUUAUAGCAUAUUUUUUAAUUUGCAUAGUUUAUUAGUAUAAGAUAGUGAGUUUUGUUAAAAAAAAAAUUUUGGUCAAAUUUUUACUUAAUCAGUGAUUUAAGGAUGUAUUUGACUCCAAGUAUACUCAUGUAAAUUAUAAAAAUUCAGUUUGAUGUUUAAAUUUGAUUUUAUGCUUGUAAAAAGGACCAGUUUUACAUAACUCUAGAAAUAAACCAAAUGAACAAAGGUGAACAAUAUGUAUCAUGAAAUUUUGACAAAGUGUCCAAUUUUUAAUAAGCAUACACUUUGAGCCUCCUUUUUUGUGAGAACAUAAUAUUCUAUUAAAGGCAUAACCAGUUUAUAUUUGGGUUCAAAUAUAUUUAUUCGUUAUUUAUGGCAUGUAGGGGAUGAUACAAUGGCAUUCUUUUAUUAUAAGACCACAUAUUUUGAGUCUAACUCCUUUGAAUCAUAAUUGAGCUAUACACUUGAUAAAACUUUCAUUCUCGAAGUCUAGGUAACCGGAGUUGAGGGAGGAUGAAUGGUGCCAUGAUAAAUGGGGUUCAGAUUAAGUAUGUUAUUUAAAAAGAUGCAUUAAAGUACACUGUGUUCGAAUUGAAAAAAAAAACACUACUCUGGAGUCGAUUCAGAUAAAGAUCACAGUAUCGUGCACAUUGCCCCAAGACCCAAAUUUUCACUCUUGUUAAGAAGAAGGAACAAAAAGUGAAAUAUGAAGAGAAAAGAGAAUGACAUGAUGAUGAGGACAAUGAUUUGGAAUAGGUCACGACCUGUGGUCUAAAUGGUAGUAGUAGUUAGUAGUACCUUGGGUUGAAUGAUAGCAAAUUAGGUAGAAAUCCACACCACACUGUAAAGCUGUCAUCUCUUUUUGGUCUAACCCGAGUUUUGGUACCAAGGUCAAUAAAAGCUAAAAAAUCCAUGUUAACUCUAAUAGUGCCAUUAAAAAGUUUUCUUUAUAAACUUGCUCAUGUCUAUAAUUUUAUAUGUUCUCUUUCUUGUGAAAAAUAUGCCUAGAUUUAUAGAAAAAUAAAUUUAUUUUGAGUGACACACCCACGUGAGGUUUAAAAUUAAAGUUAAAAUUCAAUUUAAAUAGAUAGAAUAAAUACAAGGUUUCCUUGAUUAAGUGAUGAGAACAUUGAUUGGUUAUAGUUGAAUUCGACCUAUAAACAAGAUUUUUAAAUUUUUGCAUUUUUCAUGUGUACUUAAAAUUUUUGUGCAAGCCAUGUUGUUAUAUAAAUCUCAAAACACUGUUAGGUAGAAUUCUUAAGCUAACCUAGUUGCUAAGGGACUAGCAAAAUUCAAGUUGGUGUGUGAUAAACACAGACAAAUAAUAUUUUUUAAUCGAAUUUUAUCAUUCUUUUAUAUUUUAUUUGUUCAAAGUAAUUGUUGUUUUGCACAAAGAUGUAUAAAAGGGUUUUGCAUGCAAAAGAGCACAAAAAGAGCAUUUAAAAGAAAAAAGAAGUCAAAUCGCCUUAUUCCCGACCGAUCCAAAAAAUUUCGAUCGGUUCAAAAAAAGAUCAGAAAAACCGAAUUGCCUAAUCCCCGACCGGUCCAGAAUUUUCCGCCGAGUCGGGUCUAUGAUCAGUGCCACAAUGCUGUGAAGGCAUUCCUCCCUUCUUUGACCCAAACAAAAGGUCAUGGACACUUUGAUGACCAAAGAUAGAGAAUUGUAAUGAUAAAGCCAAGCCUUUGGCACAGCGUAUUUGACUAAACAAUGGCAUGUUCACAUUGAAGAUGGCAUGAAUGUACCUCUACCUCUCACGUUAUCUCUCCGUGUGUAUAUAAUAUUGUAUUUUCUAUAUAAAUAGAGCAGGAGAGGAGAGUUGGAAGGCGUUAGAUUUUUUUGUCUCUUAAGUUUAGUUCUCUCUCUAAGUUUUGAAUUUUAAAUGAGUUUUAAUUUUUAGUUUUACAUAGUUUUUACAUUCCAAAUCUUGUAAUUUCCUUUGGUGUGAUUACACAAAUAGAAGUAAAGUCUUUUUGUUUACUUUUAUGCUUUCUUUUAAUCGCUUAAUGUGUCGCUUAUUUACUUUUGUCACCACUUUUUGGAUGGUUCCCCUCCAAUCUAUCGGCUGAUUUUAUGCUUUCGUUUAUAUCGCUUAAUUGAUUGUUUUUUUACUUAAUUGUUAAGUAAUUCAUCUACAAACUUUUAACAAACAAAAAAACAUAUUUAAUUUUAAAUCAAAUAUGAUAGGCUAACUAGCAUUAGUUUGGGUUUACAUCAAAGUUUUAAUUCAAUCUUAAAAUAAACUAGUUCUUUCUUUCCUUGCACAAACUUAAAAGGUUGUUUUCAUUCAAAUUGAUCAUACUAAGACAAAUGUCAAAACUUGAAUUGUAUAAAUCUAAGAUUAUGUUAUAACAAGAUUUCCUUGUUAUAUAAGACUUAGAUCAUUGCAUCUAAGGGUUUGAAACUGUAAUUAAACUUAAUUCCAAUUUUUCAAACACUAUUUUUAGAUACAAAAUAAUUUUCAUUGCAAAACUUUCUACUCAAUUUCAUUUUACCCUUGAAAAUUGAUUUAGUACAAAAGAGGAGAAGACACUAGGAUAUUAAUGAAAGAUAAAAACCAAGUAUUAAAUCAUGUCAUUUUCUUUAUAUUUGAAAGAACAAUCCAUCAAUUUUUUUCAUAUACUUUUCUAAAAUCACAAAAAUACAUGUUUAACACUUUCUUUACUUGCAUGAACGCAAACUUUGCAAACUAUAGCUCUCUGUGGAUACGAUCUCCGAACUUUCGCGUAUUAUGCUGCCUGUAGGUUCUACGCCCUUUUUUGGGAAGUACUGAAUUAAGAUAGAUACAACAUUCACCGAACAAGUGGCAAGUAUUUUUUCUAGUUUUUGCGGCAACAACGGUGUAAUAAAAAUUUCAAGUAACUAAACAUUAUAAGCCAUUUUACUGAGGCCCCUGGUUUGUCAGACAAACUGCAAUCGAACUUACCGAAUCAAACUUCGGUCGAACCGAAGUUGACAAGAUUUGCGACGAAGUUUUUGGAAACAAGGCAGUUCACUUGGCCACUGGAAGUUCAGUUCAAGUUCGACCGAAGUUGAAAAAUGUGCGAUUGAAGUUUGAAAAAACAGAUCUGGACGCUCCAAUUCAAAUUCCAACGGCCUGAUUAAUUUUCAACGGCUCUAUCACUUUUUUAACGGAAAGAUUUGAUAAAAUUUAUAUAAAUACAACCCUUGGGGUUGUGAAAAACUUAUAAAAGUGCACUAAAGUUAUUUCUAUUCUUCAAUUCAUUCUCUAGCACUUCAAAUCUUUCUCUAAUCUAUAUUUGUAUUAUUAUCAAGAGAGAAAAUACCAUAAUAUUCUUAAUUUGUAUUUAUUUAUUACACCUAUGGAUAUUUGUGAGUUUUUUUUUUUUUCUUGGCUAUAAAUUCAUUCAAUCGUGGAGAAUCACCUGUUGGUGAUAGAUUGUUAUUUCAAAAGAGGUUGCUCUUGAAGACUAGAAGUGUUUCUAAGUGGUGUAAAUAUUCGAUGAGCACCCGCAAGCUUAUUCUUAUUUCCAAAGAGGUGUUCUUCUUGAAGAAUAGAGUUUUCUCUUGAGUGUUUGUAAAUAUUUUUCAACACCCGUAACCUUGAGAUAGUGGAACCCAAUGAGGACUUGGAGAGUCGACGUAGGCAAGAUUAGCCGAACCACUAUAAAUCGUGUUUGCCUUUUCUCUCCCUUAAACUCCUUUAAACUUUUCUCGCAUUGUAUAUAUACGCUCCUAUACGUCUUUGGUAUCAUCAUUCUAUCAUUACACAAGUAUUUCAAUUAAGAGUAUUAAUUUGAAGGAAUUAAUGUGAAAUUUUAAUUAGCGAUUUAAGUUGCAAACCUAUUCAUCCCCUCUCGGUUUUGCUAAUACGGACUAACAACCUAAAUACACACAAUCUAGAGAAACAAAUGACUGUAAUCUAUGUUACUAAUAAAAAAAAAUGCAUCAGAGAGAUUCCCAAAGAAAUUCAACUUACAACUUCCCUAUUAUCCUGAAUCCAUUACUCACACAUCGGAAAAAAAAUAGAAAUCACAUUUACACUAUGUUAUGAGAAUAUAUAUGGAAAAUUUUAACAUUAUAGGCUACUUCCUUAGAAAAAAAGGGUGAAUUUUAUUUUAUCCCUUUACUUUCUUGAAACAGAAAGAAAAAAUAAUUUUUGAAUAUCGCUCGCUUCCAUUUUCUCAACAAUAAAACGAUCCUAGACACUGGAAAAAAAAACUUGAUCGCCAAAAAUAGAGCAAAAUAAACAUAAAAACCAACACAUUGGGGUCCAUACCAAGUUAGGGCAAAAUAAUGAUAUAAAACUCGAUUCAAGAAAGAGAGAAACCUGCUGACCAUGGUCCACCCACGGCGGGAUGUUUCUUGGAGUGUGAAAUUUAUACAGAGAGAAAGUCCUCUAGAUUUAUGUCGUGUUGAAUUUCUUUUGUUCCUA